rnacentral:rRNA from 1 species
CCUACGGGCGGCAGCAGUGGGGAAUAUUGCACAAUGGGGGAAACCCUGAUGCAGCGACGCCGCGUGAGUGAAGAAGUAUUUCGGUAUGUAAAGCUCCUUCAGCAGGGAAGAAAAUGACGGUACCUGACCAAGAAGCACCGGCUAACUACGUGCCAGCAGCCGCGGUAAUACGUAGGGGGCAAGCGUUAUCCGGAUUUACUGGGUGUAAAGGGAGCGUAGACGGCAGGGCAAGUCUGGAGUGAAAGGCGGGGGCUCAACCCCCGGACUGCUCUGGAAACUGCCAGGCUGGAGUGCAGGUGAGGUAAGUGGAAUGCCUAGUGUAGCGGUGAAAUGCGUAGAUAUUAGGAGGAACACCAGUGGCGAAGGCGGCUUACUGGACUGUAACUGACGUUGAGGCUCGAAAGCGUGGGGAGCAAACAGGAUUAGAUACCCCUGUAGUC